GCCAGGGUGAUCCUCCCCAGGGACGUUCCCCAUCAAGCUCUGCAAAGACAAUGUCCCAUCCCUCAGGCCUGGUGAGGUCCCAUUUGAACAUCCUCUCACUACUUCCCUCCGCUGCCGGACUGGAGAAGGUGCUUUGCUCAGGGAGGAAGUGAGUCCCCCAUGAGAGUCUCUAGGGUCCCCACCUCCUACUUUCUAAGACAGGCGGCUGCUUCUGGCCCAAGUGCCACUGCCCCAGGGACCCUUACGGUCCCACCGUAAUGGGGAGAAGAAAAAGGCUCUUCCAGGAAGCAGCCUUGGGGAAGGGAAACCACACGAGGAGACCACACUCGUGCGUGACUUCAAAGAUCAGACAACUAUCCUCUAAAGUGAAUGAAUGAAUGAAAGGAAUGAAUGAGAAACACAGGUGUCGCAGUUGCUCUGAGCAAGUUUUGAGUCUCUCUAGGUGGACAGCUGGGACCAGAUGGACAAAGAAACGCACACAGUCGGAGGCACCAGGAUUGGAUGGACACAGACCCAGGCCCGGUUUGGAGACGCUCGGCUCUGACGCACUUCUAUCUGCUGACACAAGUUACUUGGACGCCUUUGAACCCAAAACAAGGUCAGACAUGAAACCACGUCUCCCUGUGCAGCCAGGCCUCCACUCCCACCAACGCCGGGAAGGACUUAGAGAGAACAAAAUUAUUAGUGGCAGAGUUAAUAUUGUGCCCAGCCGAGACUCCAGCCCCUUCAACAGAGGCAGCCUCUCUCAUAAGCAUGGUCUGGAGUUUCUCUGCUUGUUAUAUGUUUACAUACAGAAAGUCCCACGUACGAUAGGAUAUGGCCUCGUGGGCGCUGCACAGAUAAUAUCACUCUUCAUCUGUUUUUUCACUCACUUUCAUUUCUGAGCUGGAGCCCGUCAAUCCAUUUUGCACGUGGUUCUCCUGAGCUCCCGGCCGCCGCCUGCAGAAAGGACCAGCAUUUGCUGACUCUGAGGCUGUGUGUCUGGCCUAGGAGACUUCUCCUUUCACGCCACAACACGAUUACUUUGGUGAUAGUGUCACUUCAAGAAAUAAAAAACCAGGUGCGUUGGCCCAAUUUUCAGUUGCGAGUGGAUUCUGUGUGCAGCUUUAGGGCCACAGAAAGGCUGCGGGUGCCAGCUGACACCUCAAUGACACUGUUUCCCCAUCUGGGUCCUGGGGACAGCCCUGGCACCCUGAAUGGCACUCCACCCCUAAUCCUGGCAAGGAGCAGAGGGAGCUUGGGAGCCCAGGCCGGGCUGGAGACUGACGCUCCACCUAUUUCUCCCACCUCCCCUGCCUUGUUGUUAAAACGCACCUUAACUUUGUGCUUGUCAAAAGCAUCACCGAGAGAGAGGGCACCGUCUCACGGGCAAUGGGAGUGCCACACCAUCAUGCUCUGGUAACGGGGGCCCCACUUAACACGGACUCCUUCUAGAAGGGCUCGAUGGAAAAUCCUUCUCCAAGCCCUCCAAGCCGGGGAUUAUUGUCAGGGGGCCUCGGGGCCUGCCCCUGCUGCCAAAGCCACUCUGUCUCUCUGACUUUCUCUCUCUGGCUUUGGCCUCCAGGCCAGCCAGGACACAUCAUACGGGAAGACACAUCAGGACACAAGCCAGCCUAGUUGCCCAGCCUCCCAGGCAAAGAACCAAACUGAGCUGGAGAGUCUGAUUUUCUGGGCCUUGCCUCCUUUUUGACAAAUUUCUUCUCCUUUUAGACCUGGGGUCCACUUCCUCCUUAUCCCCCAGUCUCUGAC
ensembl:lncRNA